rnacentral:lncRNA from 1 species
AUACCUCGUCCGGGGCACGUUGGAUCCCGGUGCAUUGCAAAAGUUGAUUCACCAAGGUUGUCUGUUGUGCAAGGGCGCUCGUCAACUCUAUGACUUGUCGAGACAAGUGUUAUUCACCAUUUGGAUUGGAAGAGCUUGGAAGGAAUGUGCCUCCUUGGGUAGUGGAAGGGUGGUAGACUCCGAGCAUGAGAUUUGAGUUGGGAAAUGUCAAAUCCGCAAAAAAAUGUGGUGAGAAUGCCCCCGGCUCAAUGGUAGGUCCGGAUGGUUAAGAUAGUCUUG